UGCGUCACAAAACUUUCCACUCGGGAACCGCGGCCUCCCCUUGCCGCGACACACCGGACCCGCGGUGCUAAAGAAACCCGGCUAGCUUGCAUACGAGCCCGCUGGCGGGCCGGCGGGCAGGCCCGGGAGGAGGUGGGGGUGGAGGGGCGACCGCGCGGCACCGCCAGCCUGCGCCACACAAAGGAGGUCGCCGCCAUUAAGCCCGCGCAGAGGCCAGCCCCCCCCUGCGGCGCCCCCUCCCACAUUCCAGCGCCGCGGGGCCACUCAGCUAGCCCGCGCGCCGCCGCCGACUCCUGAACUGAAAAAGCACAGCCACUGGAGCCAUGGAGGCCCAAAGCCCCAGAAACCCGGGACCAAAACCAUCCACCCCGGCCCGCGCGCCGCCACGCGGGGCGAUCUACACCCCCCCGCCGCCCCAAACUGCUGGUCACUAAUCAACUAGGGUACGCGCGCGUGCGCCCGAAAGCGCGCGCCCCCUCCCCCUCAGCUCGCCUGCGCACAGACACAAAAGCCGCCAUUGUGCUCGGGCCAGGGACAAUACGGGGAACCGAGCGGAGCUGGAGGAACAACCGGCUCUAGCACUCCCCGCAAGCAUCCACUCCCUCCAGAGCCCCUAGACACUGGCGCCCGGCGGCCCGAGCCAUCCGGGGAAACGGGAAGGAAAAAGCAGAACUUAAGAGCUGCGCCACAAGGCAGGUUAGGUCAGGGGAGAAACUGAUGCAGAGACCACUGCAGCUCACCUGCUGGUCCAGCCCGAGCGCAUUUUCCACUGCCACAUGACUCAUCCCUGAAGAGUACCGAAAAUUCGGAGUCUUCCGCUGCUGAGCAAAUGCUGGCUUUACCGCAAAGGCCCUCUCACGGGAGAACUGCGGCUUUGAAGCGCACCGCGCGGCCACCGAUCUUAUAUACCAACUCGGAGGACUGCUACGUCAGCACGUAUGACGUGCGCCCUCCUCUCCCAGGCAGCAGUCCCCUGCCGUUAGGAUCUCUGCCUGUUUACGGUGCGUUGCUCGUCUUAGUCUCCUGAGAUUUCCUAAUCUGCCCAGUUACCCGCGUCCUUGUCCGCACAUAAAGAACCCCGAGAUCUAGAUGAGAGCUCUCAGCUGCUCCUGCCACUGUGCCUUUGUUCUACCAUCAUGGACAUGGACUCUGACCCUCUGAAAGUCUUAAACCAAGAUUCCAAAAGGCUUUCUUUGUACCCAGUAGCUCCAGCAGUUGCAAAUCCUCUCCAGGAGUUCCUUCAAGCCAGAAUCUUUUUGGCCUCAUCCGUUUCAUGCUGGAGAGAGGAAAGAAAUAUUUAUGAGACUUGGUCUCCGCCUUGGGGAGAAAUAAACCCAUAAU